rnacentral:rRNA from 1 species
AUUGAACGCUGGCGGCAGGCCUAACACAUGCAAGUCGAGCGAGCGGCGGACGGGUGAGUAAUGUAUGGGGACUGCCCGCUAGAGGGGGAUAACUACUGGAAACGGUAGCUAAUACAGCAUACUAUCGGAUAACCCAUAUGGGAUUGGCUAGUAGGUGGGGUAAUGGCUCACCUAGGCGACGAUCCCUAGCGGGUCGGAGAGGAUGAUCAGCCACACGGGGACUGAGACAGUGCCCAGACUCCUACGGAGGCAGCAGUGGGGAAUAUUGCACAAGGGGCGCAAGCCUGAGGCAGCCAUGCCGCGGGUAUGAAGAAGGCCCUAGGGUUGUAAAGUACGUUCAGUCGGGAGGCGUUACCGACAGAAGAAGCACCGGCUAACUCCGUGCCAGCAGCCGCGGUAAUUC